UUUGUCAACGGUACCGGAAUGCAGCGUAGCGGAAUGAGGAUAAGGAGUUGACAGACUCAUCUGU
rnacentral:sRNA from 1 species